rnacentral:piRNA from 1 species
GAAGCCAAUGUACAGUUCGGACUGUG